GUCUGUCUUUGUUAAUAUUUUUUAUAGUGUAGUCUUGGUGAAAUUUGUGAUUAUAGAAAAUUCAGGGGUGUCCAACAUUUUUAAUCAAUGAGCCAAUUUUUUUUUUCUUUUCGGCGUGCCGCUCAUUCAUUAACUCUUAAUAAUUUACGAAACUUUAUUUCUUUUUUAAAAACUAACAAGAAAAGAACAAAAAAAGGAAUUGAUGGGAGAAAGUCGAUAAAAUAAAUUCAAUAUUAGAAAUGCUUGACGGGCCGAGUGUUGCUCAUGCUCACUUUAGAUCGUGCAAAUCAUAGCACCAAAAGCGGAUCAAGUAAAAGAAACAUCAAAAGAUAUAUAAUGGAUAUACUACUGGAGAUAUAAUCCAAGUAGGAUGACAUCGGGAAAGCGGCUAGACGGGAAACUCAUGCCAAAUCCCUAAGCAGCUAUGACAAGAGGGCAUGCUACUCCAACGCCACAUAAUGUGGAAUAAGGGCAGGAAAAAGAAGAAGAAGUCACCGCAGGAUGAGGAGUAUACAGCUUACGGGCUGGUGAGCGAGCGGUCAACGUCACUCAUGGAGGUCUGUAAUACCAGGGGAAUAAUCAAGCUGCUGUGUACCACUGUAUUAGGGCUGCUAACCUAGAAAUUGUUGAUGCUUCUGAAUACGAUGAAGUCCGAAGACAGAUCCCGGAGUACACCGAUGGAGGUCGUCCCUAGAGAUCAUGGGGAUCGGUACUGGAAAUGAAGAUAAUCAAACUCAGCUUAAAUUCAAGCAUGGUGUCCAAAAGCACGCGGCAGGGAUGAAAAUUAGCGCCUUUUGCCUCCUAUUUUUCUUAAAAACCCGUAUCAAAACUUUUUGUUGGGGAACUUAUCGGGAAGUGUUGAUAUGAGUAUCGACAAAAAACUUGGACAUUAUCAUGUUGUUAACGAAUUCAAGUGAACCUGACGGUAAAAACUAUAGGUAGCUCAUCUAUGCGAAGCAAAAAUAGAUUAUUAAUUCCUUUUUUUUUGUUAAAACAAUGACAUAAUUAAAUAUUUUGUAAGUGGCAAGAUGACAGGCGAAAUAUUGGCAACAUUGAACGCAGAUAAUCUGUGAUUUCACAAUAAGAUUAUGUUGUUAUAAAAUCAAAAUCAAUCAAUAUCGAUUAAUUUGCAAUACCGUGACCCGCAUCAUCUAACACGCGAUUGCUAUCUUUUUGGUUUAUACCAUAACACGACGUAUUAUAUGGCAAAUGUUUGUUUGUAAUAUACAGUUUAUAUUCUAUAUAUGUAGUUCAAUGCAUACAGAAAUAAACAUAUCUAAUAC